rnacentral:rRNA from 1 species
GACGAACGCUGGCGGCGUGCUUAACACAUGCAAGUCGAACGGAAAGGCCCUGCUUGCAGGGUGCUCGAGUGGCGAACGGGUGAGUAACACGUGGGUGAUCUGCCCCUUACUUUGGGAUAAGCCUGGGAAACUGGGUCUAGUACUGGAUAGGACCAUGCUGUAGGUGGUGUGGUGGAAAGAUUAGUUUCGGUAAGGGAUGAGCUCGCGGCCUAUCAGCUUGUUGGUGGGGUAAUGGCCUACCAAGGCGUCGACGGGUAGCCGGCCUGAGAGGGUGGACGGCCACAUUGGGACUGAGAGACGGCCCAGACUCCUACGGGAGGCAGCAGUGGGGAAUAUUGCACAAUGGGCGCAAGCCUGAUGCAGCGACGCCGCGUGGGGGAUGACGGCCUUCGGGUUGUAAACUCCUUUCAGCCAUGACGAAGCCCUUGUGGUGACGGUAGUGGUAGAAGAAGCACCGGCUAACUACGUG